CCUACGGGAGGCAGCAGUAGGGAAUAUUGCUCAAUGGGGGAAACCCUGAAGCAGCAACGCCGCGUGGAGGAUGAAGGUUUUAGGAUUGUAAACUCCUUUUGUGAGAGAAGAUAAUGACGGUAUGCCACGAAUAAGCACCGGCUAACUCCGUGCAAGCAGCCGCGGUAAUACGGAGGGUGCAAGCGUUAAUCGGAAUCACUGGGCGUAAAGAGUGCGCAGGCGGGGUUGUAAGUAAGAUGUGAAAUCCUGUAGCUUAACUACAGAACUGCAUUUGAAAAUGUGAGUCUAGAGUGUGGGAGAGGUAGGUGGAAUUCUUGGUGUAGGGGUAAAAUGCGUAGAUAUCAAGAGGAAUACUCAUUGCGAAGGCGCCCUACUGGAACAUUACUGACGCUCAUGCACGAAGGCGUGGGGAGCAAACAGGAUUAGAUACCCUAGUAGUC
rnacentral:rRNA from 1 species